UGGUAACGGUGGCCAUUUUGAAUAUUCCAAAGUCAAACCCCCGCUGCAAUUUUUGCCCUCCAUAAUCAUAUACCAUUUAAUGUCUCUAGAAUAAAUUUAACAUUGAUGUUCUGGAAUGUUCUGUGAAAAAUUCAAAGUUUUGACCUUUUUGCAUUGUUUCCAUGGUAACAACAGAUAUUUUGGAAAUUCCAACGCCAAAUUCCACAUCUUCCAAUGUUGCUCAUCGUUACUGUGAAGUUUCAUUAAGUUUGGAGCAUUUCCAUAUUUUUGAAAUUUUUGGUGUAGUUUCCAUGGCAACAUAGUAGUUCCAAUGAUUGCCAAAAUCAUCCAAAACCUGUAUAUGGCUGGCACCUGCAUUGUGUUCAAAUAUCAGGAUUCUGAGUUUAAGCAUCUCCAAAUUAUUCAACAAAACCAAAAACUGGAUUUUUUUACAGUUGUUCCGUUUCCAUGGUAACGGCGGACAUCUUGAAAGUGCCAACCCCAAAAAGCAAAUCUUCACAUGGUGGUUAACAUUAUGGUAUAGUUCCAUCGUCUUUGGUCCAUUUAUAUUAGAGUUCCAGAAUGGACAAAAAAAUGUGGAAGAAAAAUAAUAAUAACUAGAUUUGCCAUUGCAAGCAAUAGCGGAUGGCACCC
rnacentral:lncRNA from 1 species